rnacentral:rRNA from 1 species
CCAAUAGCGUAUAUUAAAGUUGUUGCAGUUAAAAAGCUCGUAGUUGAAUUUCGGGAUCAAGGAAUCGGUCAUGCCUCGGUAUGUACUGGUUUUAUUGGUUCUCACCUUCUAAAGAACCAUGAUGUCAUUCAUUUGAUGUUAUGGGGAAUUAGGACUGUUACCUUGAAAAAAUUAGAGUGUUUAAAGCAGGCUUACGCUUGAAUACAUUAGCAUGGAAUAAUGAAAUAGGACAUCAGAUUCUAUUUUGUUGGUUUCUAGGAUCGAUGUAAUGAUUAAUAAGGAUAGUUGGGGGCAUUAGUAUUCAAUUGUCAGAGGUGAAAUUCUUGGAUUUAUUGAAGACCAACUACUGCGAAAGCAUUUGCCAAGGAUGUUUUCAUUAAUCAAGAACGAAAGUUAGGGGAUCGAAGACGAUCAGAUACCGUCGUAGUCUUAACCAUAAACUAUGCCGACUAGGGAUCGGAUGAUGUUAAUUUUAUAAUGACUCAUUCGGCACCUUACG